ensembl:lncRNA
AUCAGUUCCUUAAUGCCUGUGUCCCAGACCGGCCUCUUCGGUGACGUGGUCAAGAACCUGGCCCAGCAGUUCUUGGCCGCACGGGAGCAGACUGAGGCGGUCCAACCUUCUGCCCGGCGGGCAGCUGCUGCCUCCACCCGUCCGCCGGUUGCAACGCCCCAGCCUGCUCGUCGCCGAGGGCGGCCCCCUGCGUCCACCCGCUCCCGCGCCGCAUCCGCAGCAGCCUCCAGCAAGUGGCGCCGUAGAGCUGGGCAUAGGCAGUCCUGGCCCCCGUCAAACCUGGCGGUGAGCGGAAGAGCAAGAGGCCCCGGGACGGGUGGCCCAGAGAGAGGUAGCCGCUUUCUGGGGGAUGGUGAAAGCACCUCUCCCUCCCCUGGAGGAGGGCCAGGGGAGAAUCUGGAAAUCUCGACGAGAGAGCGGUUUUCUCUGUCUCUGGGUCCCAGGAGGGCACGGAGAGUUGCGGACGGCCAAACACUGGACCUCACUCAUCCUCCUCCUUCGCCAGAUGGCAGCAGCGGGCGGUUCGAGAGCGUCAACAAAGGCCCUACUCACGCACCCUCUGCCAACCCGUGGAACCAGACUGAUAGGAUCUGCAGUAUCAACAACAGAAGCGGAAAAUCCACGGCGUGCCACCCACUCAUCAACCCAGAAGGAUGCCAGCUGAAUGAAACAGUCUGUAUAAGGCAGCUGCAACUUUACAUUCUGCAGGGUGAAAUACAGAACAAGUGAAGUGAAAACCCAACCCUGCAGCCGAUUCUAAAGAUUUCAUUGGUGAUGCUAAUCACUGAGCUUAUUGUCUAUAGUACACAAUGCUGAAACAAAUACUAAGCCCUAAAAUACUGAUAGACAGCAUUACUGUUUGUUGCUCAUUCUUUGUUUUAGUCAUAGUUUUGUCACUAUCCAUCCAAGAUAUUUCUGAACUCUGAACUGAAUCCAUUAAGUCUGAUCACAUCUUGACAGCAGACUGCAUGAUUCAAAUGAUGACCAAUGAAACUAGCUACAGAGCAAGAUAGUAAGGUUAUAUACUGUAGGUUACUUUACACAUUUAAGAGUUAUCAGAAAACAGAAAACAUGGAGUUUGUGUAACUGUUUAUUUUAAUUUCCCACAUAACACACUUCUGCUCCCCUGACAUGAUCACUAAUGUAGUGUACCGAGACCAAGAACAAGGCUUUUCAUAACGUGUCUCUUGCACCUGCAAUAAAGUGUUCAUAUUUGCAUUGACAGCAUGAUCAAAAGCUGCCAGCUUCAGGAGAAUCUCUCCGGUUUCAGCUUGCUGAGUAAAAGGGAUCUACAUUUGGCCUAAAGGCAUCCAGCCCCACAGAGAUGUUCCAUCCCAAAAGCCGCCCAUCAACUAUCUGAAUUAAUGACAGUAAAGCAGUCUUGAAGUGGCUUUAUUUCCUGUAGGGAACCAAACACAUGAACCAAAUAAAAACUUGCUGAUUAACCAAUACUGUUAUUUAUUUAUUUAUUUAUUUAUUUAUUUAUUUAUUUAUUUAUUUAUUUAUUUAUUUAUUUAUGUAUGUAUGUAUUUAUUUAUUUAUUUAUUAUUUUUUAUUUAUUUAUUUAUUUAUUCAUUCAUUAUAUAAUAUAUUUUUUUCCAAAAUGCAGUGGUAAAUGUCUUAUAAAAAUAUUUUCAUUAUUUUUAAUCAGUUUUUAUCCAGAAAUCUUCAUUUUUGGUCUCUAUUGAGAUGUGGUGUUUAAGAAAUAUUUAGGUUUUAAUGCUAGUUAAGCUCAAUCUACAGCUUUUUUAUUUCCAUUUAUGCUGAUUACCACAAAUUAGUUGGACUUUCCCUCCUUACUUUGAGGCAAAAAUUUUAGUUUUUAAAUUUAAGUUGAAUUAAUGGGAAUAAUUUGUAAAACAUCUUAACUUUAGCUUCUAAAGACUAACUGUUUCAAAGGUAGCCAAAGAGAGAGAGAGAGAGAGAGAGAGAGAGAGAGAGAAAAAGGAAACUUAAGUGCUUACUAACCUUUUUUGUGUUGUUAUAUGCAAUUUUUACUUUGUUGCCAUGACAACGGUACACCUAAAAUCCUAAAAAUUACGGAGACCCACAUAUGACAUGGCCAUGAAUUAAUUAAUUCCCACAAAUUAGUUUUGUUUUUUCUUUGUUGCAAUUAAAUCGUGGCCAUGAAUUAAGAAUUCAUUCCUUUAUUUUAGUAAAUCAUGGCCACACUGUACUAAUUCGUUAACUUGUUUUAAUUAAAUCAAAAUGAAUUUGUCCACAAUGCAGGUCUUAAUAGAAAUAUUAAUGCAAAUGUUUUUUAUUAAAUGCUUCAUAUUUUAAUUCAACCACCUUGACUAUAUUUUAGGUCUCCUCUAUAACUCUGACAUACAUAUUUUGUGUGCUUGAAUAAAGACGUCCUAACGCACAGCUUGGUGGAAAGGGGUGAGUUGAUUCUAUAAAUAAAGCAUGAUGGAUGGGCAUCACGCCCCAUAACCCUGUGUAAAGAAGGUGACUCUGUGGAACUUUAAAUUGGUUUAUGUUGUGUUUACUGGUGGGCUGUCUUCAGUGUAGGUAAAUGGAGGAAAUAGUGGCCUUUCCCACUCACAUGAUUUUCCAAAUCAUUACACUAACAAUCUCUGCGUGACCUCAUUAAACUGGCCCUAUUUGGAAGUCUCUCAGUAAGCAGAUGAAACCUUUAAGGCAUAUAAAAUGGGUUUAGUAUGAUCAACAGCAACCAUGUCACAAUGAGUGCUUUUACUUUCCACAAUCUGUGCUUCCACAACCUCUAAUUAAAUUACUGACCGUUUCCAUAUGCAUCCAUCCCAGGAAUGCUUUUAAGACCAAAGCCAAGUCUAGCAUUCCAAACAACUCCAAACCUCACUUACGCACACUUCUGUAUGCAUGAUCUCUGGGAAAGUUAACAGAUUGCGCCUCCUGUGUCUAAAAUGAGCUCUAAGUUUUGUUUUCAUAGGCCGAUUAGUGCCCUCACAAAUCCUGACAUCAUUUGCAAUAACAUACACAAAUGCGGCUAAAAGCUUCCAGCUGUUUUCUACUUAAAGCAAUUCUCUCCUACCCGUGAGCUGGAAAAUAACCGCAAAGGUGCGAUUCUAUGACUUUUACCACCACACCCUGUGGUCUGCACUGUGUAACUCAAUUGCAACAGCUCAGAUUCAAUCCUGACUACACUAAAAAAAAUAUGAACGUUCUCCAGAAGAAAAGUGAUGUUACAGGUUCAGUAAAAGUCAAAGGGAUAAAACAAAAUAUCUC